UACGGAAGGCAGCAGUGGGGAAUAUUGCACAAUGAGCGAAAGCUUGAUGCAGCGACGCCGCGUGAGGGAUGACGGCUUUUCGGGUUGUAAACCUCUUUCGGCAGGGAACAAGGCCGCAUGUUUGUGUGGUUGAGGGUACCUGCAUAAGAAGCGCCGGCUAACUACGUGCCAGCAGCCGCGGUAAUACGUAGGGCGCGAGCGUUGUCCGGAAUUAUUGGGCGUAAAGAGCUCGUAGGCGGCUUGUCGCGUCUGCUGUGAAAACGCGGGGCUUAACUCCGCGCUUGCAGUGGGUACGGGCAGGCUUGAGUGUAGUAGGGGAGACUGGAAUUCCUGGUGUAGCGGUGGAAUGCGCAGAUAUCAGGAGGAACACCGGAUGGCGAAGGCAGGGUCUCUGGGGCUAUAACUGACGCUGAGGAGCGAAAGCAUGGGGAGCGAACAGGGAUUAAGGAUACC
rnacentral:rRNA from 1 species